AAACAGAAAUGAUUUAAUAAGUUAAUAAAAGUAUUUUUCAAAACAUGAUAUAACAACAUAAUAUGUUUGUGUAUGUAUAUAUACAUGUGUGUGUAUAUUGCCAUUUAGUACAAAGCAAAUCUCUGCAUAGCUGUAACACCCAAAUUUAUUUCAUCCACAUACCUUGUAUGUUUUACUUAUAACUAGUUCAUUCACCUUCAUUUUUAAGGUCAUCAGAAAAGAUCGGUGACAAUUGCAUAUAGUGUUUCAGUGGCUUAAAAGUGUUUAGGUAAUUAUCAAAUAAACAACAUAAAGUAUACAAAUUGAAAAUUGUCUAAUGCAAACAGAAAUAUGUCCUAGACAGAGUGAUUUCUGCAAUCCCCUAAUUUGUAGAGGAAGAUUUUUAGAAAUAUUUCUGUUCAAGGCUUUCCAGAAUGCUAAUGCAAGUAGUGCUCGAUUUACAUAUGUUUAUUUAGUGACCAUUCAAAAUUAAAAAUGGCACUGAAAAAAGUGAUUUACACAACAAGAAAUUAGUUUGCCAUUCAUAUACUUCACAUAUGAAUUGUACCAAAGUUUCAAAACUUUUUUUAAUUGUGCCAGAAAUUCAAAAAGCACAUUUUUAAAUUUAGCAGUGGUUAAGUACAUUUUCAAAUUAUAUGAUUGAAUGAAGGUAAGGCCACACAUAUGAUUAGAUCCUCCAAAUUUUGGGAAAUCUGUAAAGACAGACUAGGAAAGCUUUUUUUUCAAGUUGCUUAUUCCCUCAUAAGAAAUCUUUACUAGAAGGGAAACAUAUGCCAGGACCUUCAAAAUUCUUAUGGUCUGUAGACCUGCAAGUUAUUAUUCAACAAUAGAUAUCUUGCUUAUCAUUACCAUUGCAGAUUCUUUCUACGCAGUUUUAAAUUUUUCAGA